rnacentral:tRNA from 1 species
AAUAGCUCAGUUGGUUAGAGCAUCUGACUGUUAAUCAGAGGGUCGCUGGUUCGAGCCCAGCUU